rnacentral:tRNA from 1 species
GCGGGUAUCGUAUAGCGGUAAUAUGUUUGCUUCCCAAGCAAGAGACGGGGUUUCGACUACCCCUACCCGCACCA